CAAGCGAGCUCGCUCUUUUUCUUUUCUCUAAUAUAUCACGCAGUAUAUUAAAUGACGUAAUAUCGAUCAUUCUAUGUUGAUAUAAUUAGGCGGGAAUCUUGUUCGUUUAUUUAAUUCGAUUAUAAGUAAUAACACAGAAGAGUCAUCCCGAAUCUCUCAGGUCUAAAGAAUUCCCUGGUCCGUCAGUAAGCUUUAUAUAGGGCAAUAAUUCAUUAUUUUCCUGUUAUCUCUGACUGGGCAGUGACGGCUUCUAGGAUCUCCAUUGAGUGGAGUACAUACUCUUCCAGCCUUGAUGGAAAAGGUUCUGUUUAUAUUUCGAAGACGUUGCUAUAAUCCAAUCUGAAGGGCAGGGAUCUUGGCCGUACUUUUUGCAGAUAAUACAAUCCACCAUUUUAACAACGGGAGCCACUUUUGAGCAAAAAUAAAACAAAUGGAAUGAUGUCUCGAUGUUUUCUUUACAAAAAGAGCACAUUCUAGACUCAGCCAUUUGUUUAGACUCACUUGUAAAUAAAGAAGAGGUGGCCAAUCGGUAUCUUAACUCUUUUUGAUCGGAAUCUGCUUUUUUUAGUUUUUCAAAAUUGUUUUUGGGCUUAAUACCUAUACCAUUUCUUUCAGGUCUAUUCUAUCCAAUCUUCUCUUGACGAUAAGAGACGAUGCUCCGUUGUGAUCGCCGUUUAUUGCAGAUGUUAUUCUACUAUUAAAUAGUGCUUCUACUGCUAUGAAGGGGCUCGAGGUUACAGGUUUUGGAACGGGAGCAUGAGACUAAUCUUUUGGUUCUACUUAAUAGAAUGAAAGUGCCUACCUCUGUAUUUCCACGAGAUAGGUAUUCACCAACAGAAGAAUAGGAAUAGUGGCAAAAUAGCGGUUAGCGUGAAAAAAAAAACA
rnacentral:lncRNA from 1 species